GGCCAAUUGGCCCAAUGGCAAGGCGCUUGACUACGACGUUGUCUAAUCAAGAGAUUGCAGGUUCGAUCCCUGCAUUGGUCA